GGGUGCGAUCAUACCAGCGUUAAUGCACAGGAUCCCAUCAGAACUCCCCAGUUAAGCGUGCUUCGGCUAGACUAGUACUGGGAUGGGUGACCUCCCGGGAAGUCCUAGUGUUGCACCCU
rnacentral:rRNA from 1 species